rnacentral:rRNA from 1 species
AUGAACGCUGGCGGCGUGCCUAAUACAUGCAAGUCGAGCGAACAGACGAGGAGCUUGCUCCUCUGACGUUAGCGGCGGACGGGUGAGUAACACGUGGAUAACCUACCUAUAAGACUGGGAUAACUUCGGGAAACCGGAGCUAAUACCGGAUAAUAUAUUGAACCGCAUGGUUCAAUAGUGAAAGACGGUUUUGCUGUCACUUAUAGAUGGAUCCGCGCCGCAUUAGCUAGUUGGUAAGGUAACGGCUUACCAAGGCAACGAUGCGUAGCCGACCUGAGAGGGUGAUCGGCCACACUGGGACUGAGACACGGUCCAGACUCCUACGGGAGGCAGCAGUAGGGAAUCUUCCGCAAUGGGCGAAAGCUUGACGGAGCAACGCCGCGUGAGUGAUGAAGGUCUUCGGAUCGUAAAACUCUGUUAUUAGGGAAGAACAAAUGUGUAAGUAACUAUGCACGUCUUGACGGUACCUAAUCAGAAAGCCUCGGCUAACUACGU